GGGUAUGUAAGAGCCGUUGGAUGUAGAACCGGGUUGAAAUCUAACCCGUUGGAAACCCAACUUCAGUUGAAGAUCUUUCCCUGUUUCCCUCUCUGUGAAAAACUCAAGAACACAAUCCUCUCUUUUUGAAUGUAAAGCAAACCCACAAUUAGAAGGAUCCAAAGCUCCCAAACCCUAUAGUCGCUCCAUUGUCAUCAGCUCCUUGGGAGGCCUGCGAUCUAUGGUAUCCUCGGUAUGACGAUUAAUGGCUCUUACCUAGCUGCUGCCCUGUUUUGAUUCUAUGGCUCAAGUGAAAACCUCUUCUCUUUUUGGUUCAGCAGACAAGAUUCCAGAUGAAAGCAAAGUAGCAUAAUCUCUUUUUGUAGCUAGACGCCGCAGCAACAGUUGUUCCUCGAUUUUGGUAGAGAUGGAGUCUCAAAUACCAAAGAGUCUUCUCUAAUGUUCACCUCAUUCUCUCAAGCUGACUGAC
rnacentral:lncRNA from 1 species